UUUUUAAAGUAUCAAAAAGACUUUUGAAUUGGAGUGGAAACUUAUCUAGAAGUAAGGUGCGCGCGCAAGAAAGAAAUCACGUGACUCUUCAUGUAAAAGUAUCCUUCUGCCAUGGGCAGAAGAAGGCAUUGCUUAUCAGAUUAAUUCCCUUUUUGAAUUCAAAUUCAAGUGAGGUUUACACAUGGCAAACCUCAGAUUUAUCUGAU
rnacentral:lncRNA from 1 species